GUUCCGAGUAAUGCUUGUCAGAGGGGUUCAACACGGACUGGCCCGUCCAGUCGGCUUCACCCUCGGGAAGGUCUGAGACUAAGGCUGUUGGUUGAUUGUUUGAUCGAGAUUCCCUAGACGGAAAUGCUUUGAGAAAAGCAGCGGCUGACCAGAAAUUCCUCUCCAACAUGCCCAUGGCAAGCGACAGGUGACAAGCCUGGAUGCCGGCUGCUGGUAGAAUUGGGAAAAGCUGUAGCCAGCUAUUCGUAGCACGAUCGACAAGGUGGCGUGCCAUAGCGCCAUAACUCAAUUCAGACUAUUCUGCUCCGAAC
rnacentral:RNase_P_RNA from 1 species